AUUGAACGCUGGCGGCAGGCCUAACACAUGCAAGUCGAACGAGUGGCGGACGGGUGAGUAAUGUCUGGGAAACUGCCUGAUGGAGGGGGAUAACUACUGGAAAAGGUAGCUAAUACCGCAUACCAUCGGAUGUGCCCAGAUGGGAGUAGCUAGUAGGUGGGGUAAAGGCGCACCUAGGCGACGAUCACUAGCUGGUCGGAGAGGAUAACCAGCCAAAGUGGAACUGAGACAAGGUCCAGACUCCUACGGGAGGCAGCAUUGGGGAAUAUUGCGAAAUUGGCUCAAGCCUGAUGCAGCCAUGCCGCGUGUAUGAAGAAGGCCUUCGGGUUGUAAAGUACUUUCAGCGGGGAGGCGUUACCCGCAGAAGAAGCACCGGCUAACUCCGUGCCAGCAGCCGCGGUAAUAC
rnacentral:rRNA from 1 species